rnacentral:rRNA from 1 species
AGGGCUCACGGAGGAUACCUAGGCACACAGAGGCGAUGAAGGACGUGGUUACCUGCGAUAAGUCUCGGGGAGUUGGAAGCACACUUUGAUCCGGGAAUUUCCGAAUGGGGCAACCCCUUGAACGACCAACUGAAUAUAUAGGUUGGUGCGAGCUAACCCAGCGAACUGAAACAUCUUAGUAGCUGGAGGAAGAGAAAGUAAAUAACGACUCCCUCAGUAGCGGCGAGCGAACGGGGAAUAGCCCAAACCGAUAGUCUUGACUAUCGGGGUUGUGGGACAGCAAUAUGGAUCAACAAUUCUAGAAGAAACGUUUGAAUGGCGUGCCAUAGAGGGUGAAAGCCCCGUAAUUGAAAGAUGAGUUGACCUAGCUGUAUCCCGAGUAGCACGGAGCACGUGGAAUUCCGUGUGAAUCUGCGAGGACCACCUCGUAAGGCUAAGUACUACUGUGUGACCGAUAGUGAAACAGUACCGCGAGGGAAAGGUGAAAAGAACCCCGGGAGGGGAGUGAAAUAGAACAUGAAACCGUGAGCUUACAAGCAAUGGGAGCCCGACUAAUCGGGUGACCGUGUGCCUGUUGAAGAAUGAGCCGGCGACUUAUAGGCACUGGCGGGUUAAACCGGAAAUGGUGGAGCCACAGCGAAAGCGAGUCUUAAUAGGGCGUUUGUCAGUGUUUAUAGACCCGAACCCUGGUGAUCUAACCAUGGCCAGGAUGAAGCUUGGGUGAUACCAAGUGGAGGUCCGAACCGACUGAAGUUGAAAAUUCAGCGGAUGAGCUGUGGUUAGGGGUGAAAUGCCAAUCGAACCAGGAGCUAGCUGGUUCUCCCCGAAAUACGUUGAGGCGUAGCGUCUAGUGCUCCAGCAGGGGGGUAAAGCAACCAUUUCGGUGCGGGCUGCGAAAGCGGUACCAAAUCGAUAUGAACUCUGAAUACCCUGUGUGUAACUAGGCAGUCAGACUGUGGGGGAUAAGCUCCAUAGUCAAGAGGGAAACAGCCCAGACCGCCAGCUAAGGUCCCAAAAUUAACGCUAAGUGAUAAAGGAGGUGGGAUUGCCCAGACAACCAGGAGGUUUGCCUAGAAGCAGCCAUCCUCAAAGGAGUGCGUAAUAGCUCACUGGUCGAGCGAUCCUGCGCCGAAAAUGAAUGGGGCUAAGCGUUAUACCGAAGCUGCGGAUAAAUUUAUUUAUGGUAGGGGAGCGUUCUAUGUUGGGUGAAGCGUUAGCGUAAGCGGACGUGGACGGCAUAGAAGUGAGAAUGUCGGCUUGAGUAGCGAAAACAUGGGUGAGAAUCCCAUGCCCCGAAACCCUAAGGGUUCCUCCGGCAGGCUCGUCCGCGGAGGGUUAGUCUGGACCUAAGGCGAGGCCGAAAGGCGUAGUCGAUGGAUAACAGGUCAAUAUUCCUGUACCAGUUAUGUUUUGGGAAGGGGGACGGAGAAGGCUAGCCAGGCCAGAUGUUGGUUACUGGUUCAAGCGUUCAAGGCUUUGAGAGAUGGAGAAAACAUCUUGAGCUGAGGCGUGAGUACGAGCUGCUACGGCAGCGAAGUUGGUGAUGUCAUGCUUCCAAGAAAAGCCCUAUACCCGUUAAGACAUAAAUGCCAGUACCCGAAACCGACACAGGUGGGGUGGUAGAGAAUACCGAGGGGCGCGAGAUAACUCUCUCUAAGGAACUCGGCAAAAUGGCCCCGUAACUUCGGGAGAAGGGGUGCCAGCGAGAGCUGGUCGCAGUGAAGAGGCGCAAGCGACUGUUUACCAAAAACACAGGUCUCCGCUAAGUCGCAAGACGAUGUAUGGGGGCUGACACCUGCCCAGUGCCGGAAGGUUAAGGAAGCUGGUUAGCUUUUAGCAAAGCUAGCGACUGAAGCCCCGGUGAACGGCGGCCGUAACUAUAACGGUCCUAAGGUAGCGAAAUUCCUUGUCGGGUAAGUUCCGACCCGCACGAAAGGUGUAACGAUUUGCGCGCUGUCUCGGAGAGAGGCUCGGCGAAAUAGAAUUGUCUGUGAAGAUGCGGACUACAUACACCCGGACAGAAAGACCCUAUGAAGCUUUACUGUAGUUUGAUAUUGUGCUCGGGCUCUAAUUGCGCAGAAUAGGUGGGAGACGUUGAAAUAGUACUUGUGGGUAUUAUUGAGUCAUCGGUGAGAUACCACUCUAUUAGAGCUAGGGUUCUAACGCUUACCCGUUAUCCGGGAAGCGGACAGUAUCUGAUGGGCAGUUUGACUGGGGCGGUCGCCUCCUAAAAGGUAACGGAGGCGCACAAAGGUUCCCUCAGGCUGGUUGGAAAUCAGUCGUUGAGUGCAAAAGCAGAAGGGAGCUUGACUGUGAGACCUACAAGUCGAACAGGGACGAAAGUCGGUUUUAGUGAUCCGACGGUUCUGCGUGGAAGGGCCGUCGCUCAACGGAUAAAAGUUACUCUAGGGAUAACAGGCUGAUCUCCCCCAAGAGUUCACAUCGACGGGGAGGUUUGGCACCUCGAUGUCGGCUCAUCGCAACCUGGGGCUGAAGUCGGUCCCAAGGGUUGGGCUGUUCGCCCAUUAAAGCGGUACGCGAGCUGGGUUCAGAACGUCGUGAGACAGUUCGGUCCAUAUCCGGUGUAUGCGCAGGAAUAUUGAGAGGAUUUCUCCCUAGUACGAGAGGACCGGGAGGAACGCACCUCUGGUGUGCCAGUUAUCGUGCCAACGGUAAACGCUGGGUAGCCAUGUGCGGAGUGGAUAACCGCUGAAAGCAUCUAAGUGGGAAGCCCACCUCAAGAUGAGUAUUGCCAUGGCUUAAGCCAGUAAGGUCACGGGAAGAACACCCGUUGAUAGGCUCUACGUGGAAGCUUGGUAACAAGUGCAGCGGAGGAGUACUAAUAGACCGAGGGCUUGACCA